UACGUAGGCAGCAAGCGUUGUCCGGAAUCAUUGGGCGUAAAGAGCGUGUAGGCGGCCAGAAAAGUCCGCUGUGAAAACUCGAGGCUCAACCUCGAGACGCCGGUGGAAACCAUCAGGCUAGAGUCCGGAAGAGGAGAGUGGAAUUCCUGGUGUAGCGGUGAAAUGCGCAGAUAUCAGGAAGAACACCCGUGGCUAAGGCGGCUCUCUAGUACGGUACUGACGCUGAGACGCGAAAGCGUGGGGAGCGAACAGG
rnacentral:rRNA from 1 species